UACAGAGGUCUCAAGCGUUGUUCGGAUUCAUUGGGCGUAAAGGGUGCGUAGGUGGCUUGGUAAGUUGAAGGUGAAAUCUCGGAGCUUAACUCCGAAACUGCCUUCAAUACUGCCGGGCUCGAGGACUGUAGAGGAGAAUGGAAUUCACGGUGUAGCAGUGAAAUGCGUAGAUAUCGUGAGGAAGACCAGUGGCGAAGGCGAUUCUCUGGGCAGUUCCUGACACUGAGGCACGAAGGCCAGGGGAGCAAACGGG
rnacentral:rRNA from 1 species